CCUACGUGUGGCAGCAGUGGGGAAUAUUGGGCAAUGGGCGCAAGCCUGACCCAGCAACGCUGCGUGAAGGAAGAAGGCUUUCGGGUUGUAAACUUCUUUUGACAGGGAAGAGAAAAAGACGGUGCCUGACGAAUAAGACACGGCUAACUACGUGCCAGCAGCAGCGGUAAUACGUAGGUGGCAAGCGUUGUCCGGGUUUACUGGGGGUAAAGGGCGUGUAGGCGGGCUGACAAGUCAGAUGUGAAAUCCGGGGGCGCAACCCCCGCACUGCAUUUGAAACUGUCGGUCUUGAGUAUCGGAGAGGCAGGCGGAAUUCCUAGUGUAGCGGUGAAAUGCGUAGAUAUUAGGAGGAACACCAGUGGCGAAGGCAGCCUGCUGGACGACAACUGACGGUGAGGCGCGAAAGCGUGGGGAGCAAACAGGAUUAGAUACCCUUGUAGUC
rnacentral:rRNA from 1 species